rnacentral:rRNA from 1 species
UUGAACGCUGGCGGCAGGCCUAACACAUGCAAGUCGAGCGGAUGAAGGGAGCUUGCUCCUGGAUUCAGCGGCGGACGGGUGAGUAAUGCCUAGGAAUCUGCCUGGUAGUGGGGGAUAACGUCCGGAAACGGGCGCUAAUACCGCAUACGUCCUGAGGGAGAAAGUGGGGGAUCUUCGGACCUCACGCUAUCAGAUGAGCUAGGUCGGAUUAGCUAGUUGGUGGGGUAAAGGCCUACCAAGGCGACGAUCCGUAACUGGUCUGAGAGGAUGAUCAGUCACAGUGGGACUGAGACACGAUGCAGACUCCUACGGGAGGCGGCAGUGCGGAAUAUUGGAGAAUGUUUGAAAGUCUGAUCCAGCCGUGCGGCGGGAGGGAAGAAGGUCUUCUGAUUCUUAAGCACUUUAAGUUGGGAGGAAGGGCAGUAAGUUAACACCUUGCUGUCUUGAGGUGAGCAACAGAAUAGGCACCGGCUAACUCCGUG